AACGUAGGAGGCGAGCGUUAUCCGGAUUUACUGGGCGUAAAGCGCGUGCAGGCGGUUUAGCAAGUUGGAUGUGAAAGCUCCUGGCUUAACUGGGAGAGGUCGUUCAAAACUGCUAGACUAGAGGGCGGUAGAGGGAGGUGGAAUUCCGUGUGUAGUGGUGAAAUGCGUAGAUAUACGGAGGAACACCAGUGGCGAAAGCGGCCUCCUGGACCGAUCCUGACGCUCAGACGCGAAAGCUAGGGGAGCGAAC
rnacentral:rRNA from 1 species